GACGAACGCUGGCGGCGUGCCUAAUACAUGCAAGUAGAACGCUGAAGGAGGAGCUUGCUUCUCUGGAUGAGUUGCGAACGGGUGAGUAACGCGUAGGUAACCUGCCUGGUAGCGGGGGAUAACUAUUGGAAACGAUAGCUAAUACCGCAUAAGAGUAGAUGUCGCAUGACAUUUGCUUAAAAGGUGCAAUUGCAUCACUACCAGAUGGACCUGCGUUGUAUUAGCUAGUUGGUGAGGUAACGGCUCACCAAGGCAACGAUACAUAGCCGACCUGAGAGGGUGAUCGGCCACACUGGGACUGAGACACGGCCCAGACUCCUACGGGAGGCAGCAGUAGGGAAUCUUCGGCAAUGGACGGAAGUCUGACCGAGCAACGCCGCGGGAGUGAAGAAGGGUUUCGGAUCGUAAAGCUCUGUUGUAAGAGAAGAACGAGUGUGAGAGUGGAAAGUUCACACUGUGACGGUAUCUUACCAGAAAGGGACGGCUAACUACGUG
rnacentral:rRNA from 1 species